UACGUAGGCAGCGAGCGUUGUUCGGAGUUACUGGGCGUAAAGGGCGUGUAGGCGGUUGUUUAAGUUUGGUGUGAAAUCUCCCGGCUCAACUGGGAGGGUGCGCCGAAUACUGAAUGACUAGAGUGCGGGAGAGGAAAGUGGAAUUCCUGGUGUAGCGGUGAAAUGCGUAGAUAUCAGGAGGAACACCGGUGGUGUAGACGGCUUUCUGGACAGAAACUGACGCUGAGGCGCGAAAGCUAGGGGAGCAAACAGG
rnacentral:rRNA from 1 species